AUGUCAAUUUCAAUAUAAAUUUUCGUGUAUGGAAAGAAAGAACAUUGAGACGGGCAGGUUAAAAAUAUAAUUCAUGAUUCAAUUGAUGAAUUUCUUACCUACGUGCCGGUUGAAAUGACGAUGUCAAAAAGAUAUUAGAGUUCUCACAAUACCUAUUGAUUCGAUCACGCAAUUCUAUUUUAACAAUGAAUGUUUAUUUGUUAAAUAAUGAUCUUUAUUCAUUACUGCACUGAUUGUCGCGGAGUGAUUAUCGUCUAGGUAUAGUUUAUAGCAAAAUCAUUAAGAAUAUAUUCAAAAUUUCACAUGUGAUACAUAGCUUCCAUUCUGAACCUUGAGUAAGCAACAUGUCGGCGGGACUUGUACUUAUUGUGGCAGCUAUCGCCUUUUCUGUAUUUUGGACGAUAAAAUUUGUAACUGAAAUUUAUCACGCUACUACACAAAGCUGUAAUAAUUCCUCAGUUAACCAGUCAAUGAAUUUGACACCGACUGGGUUUCACACGGACUUUAUACAGUACACAGAAUAAACACCUGUCUCUGGUUUCUAUUGACUGGAACAAUGAUAUUCUUCUUGUAUUGGUACACAGAGCAAUUAAGAAGAAAGUAUAAUUUAUUUAAGAUUGACGAUUUUGAAAAUGUACCAAACGAUCUCGUAGGAUGGGCCGAUAUUAAUUCGACCGCCGAUGUUGGAGCGACCUUGAAUGUUUAAGUCGUAGUUUAUGAAGCACUAAUAGUACCUUGAUUGUUUCUAUUGAUAGAAAAUGUCUUAAAAGCUCAUAAUAAACAAAGAUCCAUGUUCUUAUAUUUUUAUUAUUAUUAUUUCUAAUCUUGUAAUUAUAUGAAAUUGAAUUUGGUUUAGUAUUUACAUUUUGUUAUGUGAGUUAGUUUUAUUUCAUGGUUAUGAUAAAAAACUAAAUAAUAAAGGCUGGUACCCUUGAUACAUUUAUUUCUAUUACACCAAUGUCUAGUGUUGUUCGUUGUGAAGAAAGUGUGCAUUUUUUUUCAUAAUCUAUUACGUUUAUAAAAUAAGUAUAUCAAUGAAAUGACAUUCAUAAUUUAUAAAGCAAGUGUAAUAUUUUAU